UACAGAGGGUGCAAGCGUUAAUCGGAAUUACUGGGCGUAAAAGGCGUGCGCAGGCGGGUUUUUGUAAGUCUGUCGUGAAAAUCCCCGGGCUCGAACCUGGGAAAUUGCGAUGGAGAUAUCAAGGCUAGAACUGGCAGAGGGGGGUAGAAUUCACGUGUGAGCAGUGAAAAUGCGUAGAGAUGUGGAGGAACACCGAUGGCGGAAGGCAGCCCCUGGUCAAGAUU
rnacentral:rRNA from 1 species